UGGGGAAUCUUCCGCAAUGGACGAAAGUCUGACGGAGCAACGCCGCGUGAGUGAUGACGGCCUUCGGGUUGUAAAGCUCUGUUAAUCGGGACGAAUGGUUCUUGUGCAAAUAGUGCGAGGAUUUGACGGUACCGGAAUAGAAAGCCACGGCUAACUACGUGCCAGCAGCCGCGGUAAUACGUAGGUGGCAAGCGUUGUCCGGAAUUAUUGGGCGUAAAGCGCGCGCAGGCGGAUUGGUCAGUCUGUCUUAAAAGUUCGGGGCUUAACCCCGUGAUGGGAUGGAAACUGCCAAUCUAGAGUAUCGGAGAGGAAAGUGGAAUUCCUAGUGUAGCGGUGAAAUGCGUAGAUAUUAGGAAGAACACCAGUGGCGAAGGCGACUUUCUGGACGAAAACUGACGCUGAGGCGCGAAAGCCAGGGGAGCGAACGGGAUUAGAUACCCCGGUAGUCCACGCCGUAAACGAUGAGUGCUAAGUGUUGGAGGGUUUCCGCCCUUCAGUGCUGCAGUUAACGCAUUAAGCACUCCGCCUGGGGAGUACGACCGCAAGGUUG
rnacentral:rRNA from 1 species